rnacentral:rRNA from 1 species
UACGUAGGGGGCAAGCGUUGUCCGGAUUUAUUGGGCGUAAAGCGCGUGUAGGCGGCCAGGUAGGUCCGUUGUGAAAACUCGAGGCUCAACCUCGAGACGCCGGCGGAAACCAUCUGGCUAGAGUCCGGAAGAGGAGAGUGGAAUUCCCGGUGUAGCGGUGAAAUGCGCAGAUAUCGGGAAGAACACCCGUGGCGAAGGCGGGCUACUGGGCCGAUACUGACGCUGAUGCGCGAAAGCCAGGGGAGCGAACGGG